rnacentral:tRNA from 1 species
AAGACACUAGUAAUAAAUUUAUUACAUUGCUUUGUCAAGGCAAAAUUGUGGGUUAAAAUCCCACGUGUUUUA